rnacentral:rRNA from 1 species
CUAGAUGUCCGGGGCCGCACGCGCGCUACACUGAAGGAAUCAGCGUGUGCUCUCCCGGUCCGUCAGGACCGGGUAACCCGUUGAAACUCCUUCGUGAUGGGGAUAGGGGCUUGUAACUGUUCCCCUUGAACGAGGAAUGCCCAGUAAGCGCGAGUCAUAAGCUCGUGCUGAUUACGUCCCUGCCCUUUGUGCACACYGCCCGUCGCUACUACCGAUUGAACGAUUUAGUGAGGUCUUCGGACUGGCUCUCGGAGCGGCCCAUCGCGGCCGGGCCGAGCUGCCGGAAAGAUGACCGAACUUGACCGUUUAGAGGAAGUAAAAGUCGUAACAAGGUUAUC